GAUGAACGCUAGCGGCAGGCUUAAUACAUGCAAGUCGAGGGGUAACACGGGUAGCAAUACCUGGUGACGACCGGCAAACGGGUGCGGAACACGUACAGAACCUUCCUUUAAGCGGGGGAUAGCCCAUAGAAAUGUGGAUUAAUACCCACUAGUAAUAUUGUCUGGCAUCAGAUGGUAUUUAAAGAUUUAUUCACUUAAAGAUGGCUGUGCGGCUGAUUAGGUAGUUGGUGUGGGUAACGGCCCACCAAGCCAGCGAUCAGUAACUGGUGUGAGAGCACGACCAGUCACACGGGCACUGAGACACGGGCCCGACUCCUACGGGAGGCAGCAGUAAGGAAUAUUGGUCAAUGGACGCAAGUCUGAACCAGCCAUGCCGCGUGAAGGAUGAAGGGCCCUCUGGGUUGUAAACUUCUUUUAUCUGGGAAGAAAUGCAUGUCUUUUUAGCGUGUUUGACGGUACCAGAGGAAUAAGCACCGGCUAACUCCGUGCCAACAGCAGCCGCCGCC
rnacentral:rRNA from 1 species